UGCUCUAAUUAGACUAUAAUAAUGCUAAAUAAGCUUAAUCAAAUUCAAAAAAAUCUCAAAGAAAUUUCAAACAAACAAUAGGAAUUUUUAAAGAAACAUUAGAAAAAAAUACAAAUAUCAUUCAAAUAUAUUUCAAUUCAAUCUUAAUUUAAUUCUAAUUAAAAUCCUAUUGAACUUCAUUCAAAAUUUAGGCCAAAACUAAUUGAAACUUAAAUCCUAAUAAAAUCCUAAAUUCUAAAUCAAACCCUAAACAAACCUUAAACCAAACCCCAACCAAAUCCUAAACCAAAUCCUAACCAAACCCUAAACCAAAUCCUAAAUUCUAAAUCAAACCCUAACCAAAUCCUAAAUCCUAAAUUAAAUCCUAAACCAAAUCCUAACCAAACCUUAAAUCCUAAAUCAAACCCUAAUCCAAAUCCUAAUAAUUCCUACAACAGAUUUAAACCUCAAUAACUAAUGAAUAAACCAUUGAUCUUAACUCAAUUUUUUCACACUUCUAAAAACAUUAGAUUAAAAACAAGCACAAAAAAAUUGAUAAGGAUCGGAAAUACCAAAUUGACAAUAUCCUCAAAAAUGUGCUCGGGUAUUGGCCGGCCUCCUUCUCCAAUCUUGAUGCCAAUCUUCCAGAGCCAAUAUCUCUCUUUCUCAUUAUUCGAUUGAUCUCAAAAUUCUCAUACACAUAGAAAAAUAAGUCUAAUAUCCUCUUACAUAAGUUUCACUCCAAUCCAAUGAAUAGAUUGCAAGAAAUUUCAAAAACCCCCACUAGACCUAAAAUUCUACUUUUUGAGACCUUGACGCACUUAAACCUCAAUAUCACUCAAUUCAAUCGUUAGAUCAAGCUCAAAUUCACGAUACAUAUUAAACACAACUAUAAACAUAAACUCACAAAAUUUCACCUAUAGAUCUAUUACAAAACUCUUGAAAUCACCCAAAAUAUAAACC
rnacentral:lncRNA from 1 species